rnacentral:lncRNA from 1 species
GGCUGGAAAUGUUUUCUGGAAUCUGACCCGACAAAGAAUUAUGCGACAAAUCCAAUAUCCUUAAUCUCUGCAUCUUUUCUAAACCAGGAAUCUGACCAUCAAGAAAAUUAUAUGAUAAAUUCAGGUAUUCCAAACCCUGCAGUCCAAAGAGACCUGCAGGUAUCUCACCAUGUAGCAAAUUUCCAGAUAAAUCAAUUCCCACUGUUGAAAAUAGAUCAUAGUUGAAGCUUAGUUCAU